UCGGAGCGGGGGAACGCCGUGCCCACGUACGGCGCACGUACACGGAGCACUACCCGGCGCACGCGCGCGGGGCACGUAACAUCCUCGCCCCCCCCGCCCCGCGCGGCGCCUACGCGGCAGGCGACAGGUGCGCGCGCACCUGCGCGGAGGGUCCGGAGCCUUCAUCCCUAGAGCGCGCACUGGGUGCUCCACGACCCACCUGAAGGGUGGCCAGUGGCUCUCGGGUCUCUCCUUUAACCAGGAUGGAGUUUGGCGAGAGAUUUACAGAACCGGGAUUACCUUCCCAACUAGAUCGGACCCGCCUAGCAAAUGGCCUCAAGGUCUUGCGGAAAAGACCGCGUCCAGUGGAGAUCAAUCCCGGGCACUGGUGUUUGUCAGCUGCCUUUUGACCUUGGUCAAGUUACGCACCUUCUCACAGCAUCAGCUGGUUAAUGGAGAAAAUGGAAUUAGUAUAAGAAGUGCGUGGGCCUUCCACCAUCGCGGCCUCUCCCUUUGCCGAGCACAGGCUCCAGACGCGCAGGCUCAGUAGUUGUGGCUCACGGGCCUAGUCGCUCCGCGGCAUGCGGGAUCCUCCCAGACCUGGGCCCGAACCCGUGUCCCCUGCAUCAGCAGGCAGACUCUCAACCACUGCGCCACCAGAGAAGCCCCUGUAUAAUUUUUGAAUGGAGACUCGAGGCAAAGUUGGUUCAGAGGCACUGAUCCGAGGAGACCUUCUGUGCUCAUCAGCUCCAGGACCAGCUCAGGAUAGACUUAUGAAGUCUCUGCCUGUCCUAUUCCCAUAGAUUUUCCUCUAAUAGACAACUAAACAAGCAGACGGACCUCAGGGGGAAAAAAAAAUGUUAGGAGGCUAGAAAAAGAUUUCACUAAGGAGCAGUUCAAAUCUGAUCAGAUAACAGAAGGAUCCCUUGAGACUUUAUUCUGAGGAAAAGAAAGUAAAACCCAACGUGAAGGAUUUCAACAAAAUGUUGAAACUCAAUUGAACAUCAUUUUACCUCCCCACUCCAGGCAUGCUGGCCUUAACCAGGAGAAGAUGCAAGAGGUUUCAGCUGUCCAGACUAGGAAGUUGCAGGUCCCAUCUGCAGCUGUGAGGAUCUGAACUCAAUCUUGGUGGAAACUUCACUUCUGUCAAUGACCUUCAAACGGCAACCACCAGGAGCACACUGUGGGGAGAGGCGGUCCACCAAGGGCCCUGGGUGUCCUUGCUUGUUCUUACUGAGGGUGCCAGACUGCAAGGCUUAUCCAUCUCCUGAUUAUAAACAGUUGCUGUAUGAAGUUGUAGAGGCAACUAAAUGUCAAGGUAACCUCAGACUCCCGCUCAACCCCCAGGCAAGGGGGACUGGUUUAAUGGCAUCUUGCUGUAACCUUUGCUAUUGCUCAAAAAAUGCGGGACCCUUAGCCCCAGGUUCUUUUACCGUAAAGGAACCCACUGAAUAUACUGGUGUCAUCUGGCCCUGCACAUCUCCCUGUUAAAAUUGGGGCUUAGGAAACCAGUGCAAAUACGCUGACACUCUAGCCACUGUUUUCAGUAAUAAAGUCCUUCAUCUCUGA